rnacentral:lncRNA from 1 species
GUUUCUAAAUCUGCCUCUUAGAAGAUAUCAGAAAGUUAAAGUUUCUCUUGCUGCCGCCGUGUAAGAAGGACCUUUUGCCUCCCACCAUGAUUCUAAGUCCUCCCCAGCCACGUGGAACUGCUUUCAUUUGGUCUCUUUUCGAAUCAGAAGACCCAGAAAACUUGGAUCCACUUCUGGCUCUCAUCCCUCUGGGCAGUGUGAUUUGGAUUGAGCAGAUGCUCCGGCUGCCACUCCAUCAUAUAUUGGAAACAGCAUUACUUUAUAGUAAAUCAUGACCACGGUGUAUGGCAAUGAAGUUGCAUCUGAAGCAGCCGGCACCCUAUGUGCUAGCUGGCUUUUAGACCAGGAGACUGUGAAUCUGUGGUCAGGAUCUCUUUAGGGCUGCUAAAUAUAUACUACCCACUAUCACUCGCUGGAGCUGCAGACCCUAGUUUUAGAGUUUCACUUCUUAAAGACCUUCAUCCUUAUUAAAAUGGUAAUAUCCUUACUGUC